GGGGCUAUAGCUCAGUGGUAGACUGCAUGCUUGGCAUGCACAACUUCCUGGGUUCAAUCCCUGGUACCUCCA
rfam:Camelus ferus unplaced genomic scaffold scaffold297, whole genome shotgun sequence.